UACAGAGGUCUCAAGCGUUGUUCGGAUUCAUUGGGCGUAAAGGGUGCGUAGGCGGCCCGUUAAGUCAGUGGUGAAAGCCUCCAGCUCAACUGGAGAACUGCCAUUGAUACUGGCGGGCUUGAGUACAGACGAGGUAGGCGGAAUUGAUUGUGUAGCGGUGAAAUGCAUAGAUACAAUCAAGAACACCGAUUGCGUAGGCAGCUUACUAGGCUGUAACUGACGCUGAGGCACGAAAGCGUGGGGAGCGAACAGG
rnacentral:rRNA from 1 species